rnacentral:rRNA from 1 species
CCUACGGGAGGCAGCAGUGGGGAAUAUUGGGCAAUGGAGGCAACUCUGACCCAGCAACGCCGCGUGAGUGAUGAAGGUCUUCGGAUUGUAAAGUUCUGUUCUAAGGGAAGAAGAAAGUGACGGUACCUUAGGAAUAAGCCUCGGCUAACUACGUGCCAGCAGCCGCGGUAAUACGUAGGAGGCAAGCGUUAUCCGGAAUGACUGGGCGUAAAGGGUGCGUAGGUGGUAUGACAAGUGAGUGGCGUAACCCCGGAGCGCAACUUCGGAACUACUAACAAAACUGUUGGACUCGAGUGCAGGAGGGGCAAGUGGAAUUUCAAGUGUAGCGGUGGAAUGCGUAGAUAUUAGGAAGAACACCAGUGGCGAAGGCGAGUAGCUGGACUGUAACUGACACUGAGGCACGAAAGCGUGGGGAGCAAACAGGAUUAGAUACCCUUGUAGUC